CUCACCUGGAGGAAGAAGGGAGGUGAGUAGAAGAAGCUGGGAAAUGCUACCCCAUAGCAGAGCUCCCUUUCCCAAUGGGUUUCCACCACUCUACCAGACAAUUGAUUGAAAGAACAGAGACCAACAGCCCUGCAAUACAGGUAAUCUCCACGAUCCAGGCACUGACCAGGCCUGCUGCGGAGCUCACACCAAAGGACAAGUACCUCAUUCGAACAGUUCAGGCAACAGAAGCCCCAGGCCCCAGGCCCCAGGCCAGUUAGUAUUCACGGCCACCUGUGAGACCUUGGCAGAAUUAAGACCUCUAGGCUGAAAUGUUAAUGAUGCCAUCUCCUCCACAGGCACAAGGUCAAAUAGAGAGCUAACAAGUGACCACAUGAACACCUUUCUGGCCUUCUUCCUUCCUGUUUAUAGACUUUGUUUCAUUUCCCCCUCCAAGAAGGACAAGGUAGAUAUCAUAAAUGUCCAAGUGCUGAAAAAGGGGUGUGGACAAAAAGAAGACUCCAUACAGAUGUCUCUCUAGCACAACUGGAAACCUACAUUAAAGACAAAAGUAUAUCAUCCCUCCUCCCUCCCAGUCUCUCAAGAGAGACCAGAAAAUUUCUGGCAAAUAAAAAUGGGAUGAUAUGAAGAACUAUAUAGGGCAGUUUUGAGGCAAGGCACAUAGGUGGGCAAAGGCUCUCAGGAUCCUGCUCUAGGGAGACAUCCUCCCCACCCAAUUCCAAGUUGUAUUCUUGCUUAAACUCCUUAGGGAACAAAAAAGGGGAUCUGACCCAGCUAUUUUCAGCCACUGAAAUGCAAUUCUGAGAGCUUGGGGCCUCUCUAAAGAGUGACUGUCCUGGAAGGUGAGCUGGGAUAGUAGCCAUCCAUGGCUCCAAGUCAAAGAGGCUCCUCACUUUUACUUGCAUAUGGUAACCUGGUCCAGGGUUUCUACAGAGCAGGGUCACAUGGACCCCAUAAUCUUUUCACCCCUCAAUGUCCUACAAGCAUUGCCAGAUGCUGAGCUUACUUCUACUCCCCAUGCCCAACUAUACUAGGUUCCUCUUGGAUGAAGCUGGGGUCUGGUUGUGUAUAUAACUUCCAUGGCCUGGGGCCACCAAACUCACCAAAAUGCACAUUCUUUCCGCCUGCCUCUGCCAAAACCUUAUUUUUAACAACAACAAUAAUAAUAGUAAUAAUGAUAAUAAAAAACCUAAAAAGCCUUCCCAGUCCUGCUGCACCCAAUCCCCCACCCCCUCUCAAUCCUCAUCCUUCCAGCCCAGGAAUCCAAGCAGGGACACACUUCAGGAUGACCUGGAACCUCAGAAAGACGACUUUCAAAAGACAACUUUUACGGGUCUCCCUUCUCCCUCAAACACGAGCGAGAGGUUUGUGAAAGACACAAUUUACAGUCUCAAAGCCAAAUAAUUUGGAUUUGGCCAAACUAAAUUAUUCCUUCCAAGUGUGAAUGAUGCUCAACUUAUAAAAUUAUGCUCAAUA